CUACGGAGGGUGCAAACGUUGUUCGGAAUUACUGGGCGUAAAGCGCGCGUAGGCGGUUUGUUAAGUCAGAUGUGAAAGCCCACAGCUCAACUGUGGAAGUGCAUUUGAAACUGGCAGACUUGAGUACUGGAGGGGGUGGUGGAAUUCCCGGUGUAGAGGUGAAAUUCGUAGAUAUCUGGAGGAAUACCGGUGGCGAAGGCGACCACCUGGCCAGAUACUGACGCUGAGGUGCGAAAGCGUGGGGAGCAAACAGGAUUAGAAACCCUUGUAGUCC
rnacentral:rRNA from 1 species